CCUACGGGUGGCAGCAGUGGGGAAUUUUGGACAAUGGGCGCAAGCCUGAUCCAGCCAUGCCGCGUGCAGGAUGAAGGCCCUCGGGUUGUAAACUGCUUUUGUACGGAACGAAAAGCCUCUCUCGAAUAAAGAGGGGUGAUUACGGUACCGUAAGCAUAAGAACCGGCUAACUACGUGCCAGCAGCCGCGGUAAUACGUAGGGUGCGAGCGUUAAUAAGGAGUGCGCGGCGGAACGCGCAAGACAGUGGUGAAAUCCCCGGGCUCAACCUGGGAACGGCCAUUGUGACUGCAAGGCUGGAGUACGGCAGAGGGGGAUGGAAUUCCGCGUGUAGCAGUGAAAUGCGUAGAUAUGCGGAGGAACACCGAUGGCGAAGGCAGUCCCCUGGGCCUGUACUGACGCUCAUGCACGAAAGCGUGGGGAGCAAACAGGAUUAGAUACCCCGGUAGUC
rnacentral:rRNA from 1 species